UCAAGGGGACACCUCCGAGCUGCAGUCAUGCUGGAGAGCAGACUCCUGACUCCUGAAGAUUUUGAGUUUGUUCGUCUCCUCGGCUGACGAUGUUUCAUCCUCUGAACCGUUGCCUGCAGUCCUCUCAAGCGUUCCAUGAGCCGGCAGACACAAUGACCUUCAGGGCCACCGUACCGGAUCCUUCAAGAGCACGAGGCAGAAAGACGUGGACUCCACUGAACCUGGAGACCGGAUGAACGUCUCGCUGACGGACAAACGUCCACCGGAGUUAAACUCAACGGAGAUGGUGACGACCAAUCGGAGCCUCUGAAGCAGGGUGACGGUCUCUGCUGGACGUCCAGACUCCGCUGAUGUUCAUCAGCUGGCUCUAUGUGAAGGAGACGUCUGGAUCUCUGAAGGGCCUCACCUGUGAAGUGAUUAAAGCAGGGUGACGGUCUCUGCUGGACGUCCAGGCUCCGCUGAUGUUCAUCAGCUGGAUGAACGUCUCGCUGACGGACAAACGUCCACUGGAGUUAAACUCAACGGAGAUGGUGACGACCAAUCAGAGCCUCUGAAGCAGGUCGGACGGAGGAAACCAGGAGCUGCAGUGAAACGGUUUCUCUUCUGAGGACUCGUCCAUCAAAUGUUUACAAAAAGAAAUAAAGAUC